GCUUCCGUAGCUCAGUUGGUUAGAGCGUCGUACUAAUACUUCAGUUUCCGCUGUAAUAUCGGUAAUGCGAAGGUCUCAGGUUCAAGCCCUGGCGGGAGCA
rnacentral:tRNA from 1 species